UAAUUAGCUUUUACCACCUGCAGUCGAGGUUCUGUUGAUUAUUUCGCUUGUUUAAAACACGCUUUAGAAGAAGUAUGGCCACAACUUGCUGAGAAAGGACUCCCAGAAUUUGACUUUCUGCCUUUGGAUCCAUUUAUAAUUGACGAAAACAACGAAGCUGUAUUUAACGAUGGCAAUUUACAUGCAAAAGUUAUUGUAUUAAAUGUUACUGUUGGAGGUUUAACAAACGCAUGUUUUCACGAUGUGAGAAUGCACGUUUUUGAUAACACUUUUCAUUUAGAAGUUGAUGUACUAGGGCCGAGACUAUUUAUAAAAGGUACCGUGAAAAUGGAUGGUACUUUAGGUAUAUUCAGAAUUGCUGAUGAAGGUACGAUGAAUAAAUUCUAUACAUAAUUUGCUUAA